rnacentral:rRNA from 1 species
AACAAACGCUGGCGGCGUGUCUUAAGCAUGCAAGUUGAGCGGCAAGGAGGAGAGAUCCUCCCUAGAGCAGCGGACUGGUGAGUAACGCGUGGGUAAUCUAUCUUAGGCAUGGGGAUAGUCACUAGAAAUAGUGGGUAAUACCGAAUAAGUUCCAUAAGGGGAGGACUUAUGGAAGAAAGGUGCUACGGCACUGGCCUUAGGUGAGCUCGCGUCCCAUUAGCUAGUUGGUGAGGUAAAGGCCCACCAAGGCGAUGAUGGGUAGCCGGCCUGAGAGGGUGUACGGCCACACUGGGACUGAGAUACGGCCCAGACUCCUACGGGAGGCAGCAGCUAAGAAUAUUCCGCAAUGGACGGAAGUCUGACGGAGCGACGCCGCGUGGAUGAAGAAGGCCGAAAGGUUGUAAAGUUCUUUUGCUAGGGGAGAAUAAGUGUGGGAGGGAAUGCCUGCACGAUGACAAGGACUAGGCGAAUAAGUCCUGGCCCAACUACGUGCCAGCACGG